UACGUAGGGCGCAAGCGUUGUCCGGAAUUAUUGGGCGUAAAGAGCUCGUAGGCGGUCUGUUGCGUCCGCUGUGAAAACCCAGGGCUUAACCCUGGGCUUGCAGUGGAUACGGGCAGACUAGAGGCAGGUAGGGGAGAAUGGAAUUCCCGGUGUAGCGGUGAAAUGCGCAGAUAUCGGGAGGAACACCGGUGGCGAAGGCGGUUCUCUGGGCCUGACCUGACGCUGAGACGCGAAAGCGUGGGGAGCGAACAGG
rnacentral:rRNA from 1 species